AGUGGGUGUAAUGUACCUACUAGCCGACGACGGAUACGGGUUGUGGGAGCAAGAGCCCGGAGAUGGAUUCUGAGACAUGAAUCCAGGCCCUACGGGGCGCAGCAGGCGCGAAAACUUUACAAUGCGGGAAACCGCGAUAAGGGGACACCGAGUGCCAGCAUCUUAUGUAGGCUGUCCGCAUGUAUAAAUCACAUGUGUUAGCAAGGGCCGGGCAAGACCGGUGCCAGCCGCCGCGGUAACACCGGCGGCCCGAGUGGUGGCCACUAUUAUUGGGUCUAAAGGGUCCGUAGCCGGUUUGGUCAGUCUUCCGGGAAAUCUGACGGCUUAACCGUUAGGCUUUCGGGGGAUACUACCAGGCUUGGGACCGGGAGAGGUAAGAGGUACUACGGGGGUAGGAGUGAAAUCUUGUAAUCCUCGUGGGACCACCAGUGGCGAAGGCGUCUUACCAGAACGGGUCCGACGGUGAGGGACGAAAGCUGGGGGCACGAACCGGAUUAGAU
rnacentral:rRNA from 1 species